CUUCUGCUUGUAUCAGUCGGCGGUGAGCUCGUAAACAGAUCACAGCAUCCCCAUGUGGAUGGAUGUUUACUAGAAUGUACACGGACAGAGUUUCCAAUCAGUCUUUGGUUCAGACCAGUAAUAAUGGAAAGAAAUUAAAUGACAAGUGGGGAAACAGUUAUAAUAACGAAUACGGUCAUCUAUGAUCAUUUCUUGCAUGAACUGAACUGAAAGACAACACAUUGUAACACGGGCAACGUCUGGCAACUAACGGCUUGGGAGGGACUGGUGUGAUAGUGUGUGCAAUGAACCAGAGAAUGCAGUUAUGAGCAAUUAUAAAGAGUGUUAUUGAAAAUCACUGUAAUGCACUUGAAACAGAGUUUGCACUUAUUCAAAGUGCACUUAUCAGGAGUGAAGUGUAUAUCACUACUUUCCAAUCAAUUUGAACACAAUCAUGAAUGCGCAGCAUUACAGUUUUUCCCCAAGUGUUAACACACUAAAAUUGGAACUUGAAAUGCAAUCACCGAAACCUGAAACUCAUGUACCAAAUCCCUAAACCAAGUCUGCAAAAUUGCAAGCACAAUUCGCUCUUUACACUCCGUUUUCAAUUCUAUAUCACACUUUUUGCAAAACACUACACACAGUUCUUUAAAUUAGGUACAACAUUACAAAUGAAAAUCUAUUUUUGUUCCCUUUGGAAAGCAACCAAUCACAAUGCCAAGCUCUAUACACCAAUUGGCAACACCCACUCCUCACAGGUGUAAACAUCAGUUGCUGAGUUGUUCGCUUAGAAAUCAGAGCUUUAGUGCUAUAAAAGGCCACAGAUGAGCUCUCCUGUUUUGGAGGAAAAUGGAAGUCAAUGGUGAAGGAGUGGGAGAACGAGGAAGGACCGUUGUCUCAGAUGAGAUCAGCACCACAUUGGUUGACCAUGUGCUCAACCAUGGAUUGAGUUUGAGGGAGGCUGGGCAGAGAGUUCAGCCCAACCUGAGCCGCUACACGGUUGCAUCUAUCAUCCGUACAUUCAGAAAUGAGAACCGGUAAGAUACCUACCAUCUACACUAUGCCAGUAGGCCUAUGUUACUCAGUGAUUGUUGGCCAAUGUUACAGUAAUGUCAUUUCAUAUAGAACGAAAAUAGAUUAUUUUAGCUUCCUGAAACCAAUCAUAUCAUAUUUGGGGAUCUGAGAGAUGGCCAGGCCGUGGUGGAAGACACCAGCUGUUCACACCAGAACAGGAGACCGCUAUUGUGAACAUGGUGGUGGCAAACAAUACCAUUCGACUAGGAGAAAUCCAGAACCACAUAAUUGCAGACAACACAAUAUUCAAUAACAUUCACCAGGUGGGCUUGUCUCCAUUGGACCGUGUAUUACAGCGCAACCGAAUCCGGAUGAAACGGGUCUACAGGUGGGCUUGUCUACAUUGGACCGUGUAUUACAGCGCAACCGAAUCCGGAUGAAACGGGUCUACAGGGGGCCAUUUGAGCAAAACUCAAGAGGGAUAAAGAACAGCGCUAUGGAUAUGUGCAAAGUCUUGGAGCUGGAUGCUGCUGCAAUUCAGCACGUUUAUAUGUACAUUGAGUCUGGCUUCAAACUAGCCAAAAGACAGGGAUGGAACAUUAUUGGCCACCGUGCCAUUGUGAAUGUCCCUGGACAGCGUGGAGGGAAUAUCACCAUGUGCGCAGCCGUUGGCCAGCAAGGCGUCCCCCAUCACCACGCCAACCUUGGCCCCUACAACACCGCCCUUCUCAUUACAUUCCUGGACACACUACAUGGCAUCCUCAUUCCAGAUGAGCAGAGGGGUGGACCAGAGCAACUGGUUGAUCGACCACCCACAAUUUAUUGUCCUAUACCUCCCACCAUAUUCCCCAUUCCUAAACCCAAUUGGAGAGAUUUUUUGGCAUGGCGACGGAAGGUGUAUGACCGCCAUCCCCUCACCCGCAUGCCUCUUCUCCAGGCAAUGGAGGAUGCAUGAGGUGAAGUUGAUGUGGGGGGGGCUUUCGUUGGCUGGAUCUGUCACUCCAGAAGAUUCUUUCCCUGUUGUUUAGCCAGGGAGAACAUCGCUUGUGAUGUAGAUGAGGUGCUGUGGCCAGACCAAAAUAUGAUGCAGUAUAAUGUCGUUGUUUUUACAUUUGCAUGUGUUUUUGUGUUUAGAGUUUUGAAAGAAUGAGCCUAUUUUAUUUUUGCACAGAAAACCCUUUAUCUUACUGGAUGUUUUUCCUGGUUUUCUCCUGUUGGGUAUGGAAAGUGUUACAUACAAAACACAAGUGAUCAAAAAUAAUUCAUUUUGGAAAUAAAUUACUAUGUUUUUGGUA